AACGAACGCUGGCGGCAUGCCUAACACAUGCAAGUCGAACGAACCCUUCGGGUGUAGUGGCGCACGGGUGCGUAACGCGAGGGAACCUGCCCUUAGGUUCGGACUAACUCUCCGAAAGGGGUGCUUAUACCGGAUAAUAUCUUCUGACCACAGAUUUAUCGACUUUGGUUGGGCACGCGUGUAAUAAGGUAGUUCGUAGUGUAAAAGCCUACCAAGGCGACGAUGCAUAGCUGGUCAGUGAGGAUGAUCAGCCACACUGGGAGUGAGCCACGGCCCAGACUCCUACGGGAGGGAGCAGUGCCGAAUAUUGGACGAUCGCCGAAAGCCUGAUCCAGCAAUGCCGGGAAAGUGAUGAAAGCAUUAGGGUUGUAAAGCUCAUUUAUCUGGGCUGAUAAUGACAGUACCGGGACAAUAAGCGCCGGCUAACUCCGUG
rnacentral:rRNA from 1 species